AUUGAACGCUGGCGGCAGGCCUAACACAUGCAAGUCGAGCGGAUGAAGAGAGCUUGCUCUCUGAUUCAGCGGCGGACGGGUGAGUAAUGCCUAGGAAUCUGCCUGGUAGUGGGGGACAACGUUUCGAAAGGAACGCUAAUACCGCAUACGUCCUACGGGAGAAAGUGGGGGAUCUUCGGACCUCACGCUAUCAGAUGAGCCUAGGUACGAUUAGCUAGUUGGUGAGGUAAAGGCUCACCAAGGCGACGAUCGUUAACUGGUCUGAGAGGAUGAGCAGUCACACUGGAACUGAGACACGGUCCAGACUCCUACGGGAGGCAGCAGUGGGGAAUAUUGGACAAUGGGCGAAAGCCUGAUCCAGCCAUGCCGCGUGUGUGAAGAAGGUCUUCGGAUUGUAAAGCACUUUAAGUUGGGAGGAAGGGCAGUAAGUUAAUACCUUGCUGUUUUGACGUUACCGACAGAAUAAGCACCGGCUAACUUCGUGCCAGCCGCCGCCGUAAUAC
rnacentral:rRNA from 1 species